rnacentral:misc_RNA from 1 species
GAUGAAGAAGUAGCGAAACGCGAUAGUUAAUGUGAAUUGCAGAAUUCAGUGAAUCAUCGAGUCUUUGAACGCACAUUGCGCCCAUUGGUAUUCCGUUGGGCAUGUCUGUUUGAGCGUCAUUACAACAGUUCAGCGUAAGCUGGUUAUGAGUUCUGUUUUUUUAAACAAAAAACAGGCUUUAAAAUGUAUGUUCUGCAGGUCGCUUUGCUAAACCCUAAACAUUAAAUACUGUUCUAGUGAAGCAUUUGCGACUCUGCCUGAAAAAAAACUUUUGUUAAAGUUUGACCUCAGAUCAGACAAGGAUACCCGCUGAACUUAAGCAUAUCAAUAAGCGGAGGA